AUGGGAUGAAAAGGUGUGGUAAGAGGUGGGAUAAGAUGACCAGGUCUGUACGUUUACUUGACUCAACCCAAUGAGCAAGAAGCGGGGAGGUAUGUUUUUCUAACUAUAAAUUAUGUUACACAGGCGGCAGCUCUUUGAACCUGCCCUCUGGUGCUGACUGAGGAGA